GAUGAAGAACGUAGCGAAAUGCGAUAAGUAAUGUGAAUUGCAGAAUUCAGUGAAUCAUCGAAUCUUUGAACGCACCUUGCGCCCUUUGGCCAUUCCGAAGGGCAUGCCUGUUUGAGUAUCAUGAACACCUCAACUCUCAUGGCUCGCCAUGAUGAGCUUGGAUUUGGGGGUCUUGCUGGCCUGUGGUCGGCUCCUCUCAAAUGGAUAAGCUUGCCAGUGUUUGGUGGCAUCACAGGUGUGAUAACUAUCUGCGCUUGUGGUUUUCCAUCAGAUAACCUUCAGUGAUGGAGGUUCGCUGGAGCUCAUAAACGUCUCCCCUAAGCGGGGACAGCCCUUUGAAUGUUUGAUCUCAAAUCAGGUAGGACUACCCGCUGAACUUAAGCAUAUCAAUAAGCGGAGGA
rnacentral:misc_RNA from 1 species